rnacentral:ncRNA from 1 species
UCACUGGCAACGGUGGGGUCUGAAGGAAGCUGAAGGGGGAACUUGGAACAUAGCGCAAGCGAACCGGCGUUGGCCUAUCAGGUGGGUAACCUUGCACAAAGUGGGAAAGCCCGAAAGCUGGAUAACCUGGGAGGUUAGGACGGAUGCGUUCAAGUUCAGGUAAGCAGA